UACCACCUGGCUACCUGUAUAACAUAAAGUAUUUACAAUUUUUUUGAAAUUUGUAAAUACUUUAUGUUAUACAGGUAGCCAGAUGGUA
rnacentral:miRNA from 1 species